AGGGAAGAGGUGACUAGUGACAGAGUGAGGGGAUGACUGGUGACAGAGGGAGGGAGUGACUAGUGACAGAGGGAGGGAGGGGGUGACUGUCACUAGUCACCCCAUCCCUCUCUCUGUCACUAGUCACUCCCUCCCUAACUCUGUCACUGUGUCACCCCCUCCCUCACUCUGUCACUAGUCACCCCCUCACUCACUCUGUCACUAGUCACCCCCUCACUCACUCUGUCACUAAUCACCCCCUCUGUCCCUA